rnacentral:rRNA from 1 species
UACGUAGGGGGCUAGCGUUGUCCGGAUUUAUUGGGCGUAAAGAGCGUGUAGGCGGCCAUGUAGGUCUGCUGUGAAAACUCGAGGCUCAACCUCGAGACGUCGGCGGAAACCAUCUGGCUAGAGUCCGGAAGAGGAGAGUGGAAUUCCUGGUGUAGCGGUGAAAUGCGCAGAUAUCAGGAAGAACACCCGUGGCGAAGGCGGCUCUCUGGGACGGUACUGACGCUGAGACGCGAAAGCGUGGGGAGCGAACAGG